ACGGGUGAGUAACACGUGGGCAACCUGCCCUUGAGACUGGGAUAACUUCGGGAAACCGGAGCUAAUACCGGAUAAUAUAAGGAACCUCCUGGUUCCUUAUUGAAAGAUGGUUUCGGCUAUCACUUAAGGAUGGGCCCGCGGCGCAUUAGCUAGUUGGUGAGGUAACGGCUCACCAAGGCGACGAUGCGUAGCCGACCUGAGAGGGUGAUCGGCCACACUGGGACUGAGACACGGCCCAGACUCCUACGGGAGGCAGCAGUAGGGAAUCUUCCACAAUGGACGAAAGUCUGAUGGAGCAACGCCGCGUGAGUGAUGAAGGCCUUCGGGUCGUAAAGCUCUGUUGUUAGGGAAGAACAAGUGCGAGAGUAACUGCUCGCACCUUGACGGUACCUAACCAGAAAGCCACGGCUAACUACGUGCCAGCAGCCGCGGUAAUACGUAGGUGGCAAGCGUUAUCCGGAAUUAUUGGGCGUAAAGCGCGCGCAGGUGGUUUCUUAAGUCUGAUGUGAAAGCCCACGGCUCAACCGUGGAGGGUCAUUGGAAACUGGGGAACCUGAGUGCAGAAGAGGAAAGUGGAAUUCCA
rnacentral:rRNA from 1 species